UCUGGAGAAACUAUGGGUUUGGCAUU
rnacentral:piRNA from 1 species